UAAAGCAUGAAGUAUUGUAGAAAGCCUAGCCUAAACUACUGUAGUUUUAAAAUAAUUAUGUAUAAUAUAAUAAAGUAAUGCUAUUCACCUGUAAUAUAGUGAGAAAUGGCAUUCAAAAAACUUUAUAAUUAAAGUUGGCGGAAGAUUUUACAAAGCUAUAAGAUAAUUUAGUUUUCAUUGCAUCUUAAAUUAAUUGCGCAAGUGGAGCCAGAUUAUAAUUCGGAAAAAUGGCAGUGUAAAUAUUACAAUUUGGUAGGUCUAUUUAUUUACUUUUAAUUAUUAGUAUUUAAAAGUCAAAUUAAUAUGAAGCAGUUUCACAGAUGAUUAACGAAACCCUAUCAAGCCUUCUUGGAAUGUCUAAGUGAUAAAAAAAAAGUACAGUUAAUGUAGGUUUUUCCAUUUUUGGUUGGUAAUUAAAUGAAUAUUAGUGUGUAGGCAGGCCGUUCAGCGAGGCUGAGUCUGAAGUGACUCUGUUCUUUCCUGUUGUGUCUGCUAGAUGGACUUGAGGUGGUUUGAGGCCUGCUGUUUACCUUCUGCACUAAAUAGAAAUUCCUUGAAGCCUUCAGAGAGCAUUUAUCUGGCCACCUUAAUGUUAUGCAUUGGUCAUGAAUUUCUCCCCAUCUGUUACAAGAAGAAUUGGUUUGCUGUUGUGUUGGAUCAACAAGUGUUCAUUUUGAGCAAGGCAAGAUAUUAGGAAAGCAGUAAAUAUUACACACUGUGAGAUUGACUUAGAACAUUAUUUUUGGUGCAUUUGUUGUUUGAAUGCUGAGUAGUGUUAAAACCCAGAGGUGAAAAAGUUGAUUAAUUUGAUUAAUAAAUGUUCAGCUAAAUAAAGAGGAAAAAAAA